rnacentral:rRNA from 1 species
ACUCCUACGGGAGGCAGCAGUAGGGAAUUUUGGUCAAUGGACGGAAGUCUGAACCAGCCAUUCCGCGUGCAGGAAGAAGGUCCUAUGGACUGUAAACUGCUUUUAGCAGAGAAGAAACGCCUUCAUUUAUGAGGGUCUGACGGUAUCUGCGGAAUAAGCACCGGCUAACUCCGUGCCAGCAGCCGCGGUAAUACGGGGGGUGCAAGCGUUAUCCGGAAUCACUGGGUUUAAAGGGUGCGUAGGCGGGACAUUAAGUCAGUGGUGAAAGUCUGUUGCUUAACGAUAGAAUUGCCGUUGAUACUGAUGUUCUUGAAUUGGGUUGAGGUUAGCGGAAUGUGACAUGUAGCGGUGAAAUGCAUAGAUAUGUCAUGGAACACCAAUUGCGAAGGCAGCUAGCUGGGCCUUGAUUGACGCUGAGGCACGAAAGCGUGGGGAGCAAACAGGAUUAGAUACCCUGGUAGUC